rnacentral:tRNA from 1 species
AGGCUUUAAGUUAAACAAACUAAUAGCCUUCAAAGCUGUAAAUAUGGGAAUUCCUUUAAGCCUUAG